rnacentral:rRNA from 1 species
ACAACGAAGAGUUUGAUCCUGGCUCAGGAUGAACGCUAGCGACAGGCUUAACACAUGCAAGUCGAGGGGCAGCACAGGUAGCAAUACCGGGUGGCGACCGGCGCACGGGUGAGUAACGCGUAUGCAACUUGCCUAUCAGAGGGGGAUAACCCGGCGAAAGUCGGACUAAUACCGCAUGAAGCAGGGGCCCCGCAUGGGGAUAUUUGCUAAAGAUUCAUCGCUGAUAGAUAGGCAUGCGUUCCAUUAGGCAGUUGGCGGGGUAACGGCCCACCAAACCGACGAUGGAUAGGGGUUCUGAGAGGAAGGUCCCCCACAUUGGUACUGAGACACGGACCAAACUCCUACGGGAGGCAGCAGUGAGGAAUAUUGGUCAAUGGGCGUAAGCCUGAACCAGCCAAGUCGCGUGAGGGAUGAAGGUUCUAUGGAUCGUAAACCUCUUUUAUAAGGGAAUAAAGUGUGGGACGUGUCCCGUUUUGUAUGUACCUUAUGAAUAAGGAUCGGCUAACUCCGUGCCAGCAGCCGCGGUAAUACGGAGGAUCCGAGCGUUAUCCGGAUUUAUUGGGUUUAAAGGGUGCGUAGGCGGCCUUUUAAGUCAGCGGUGAAAGUCUGUGGCUCAACCAUAGAAUUGCCGUUGAAACUGGGGGGGCUUGAGUAUGUUUGAGGCAGGCGGAAUGCGUGGUGUAGCGGUGAAAUGCAUAGAUAUCACGCAGAACCCCGAUUGCGAAGGCAGCCUGCCAAGCCAUUACUGACGCUGAUGCACGAAAGCGUGGGGAUCAAACAGGAUUAGAUACCCUGGUAGUCCACGCAGUAAACGAUGAUCACUAGCUGUUUGCGAUACACUGUAAGCGGCACAGCGAAAGCGUUAAGUGAUCCACCUGGGGAGUACGCCGGCAACGGUGAAACUCAAAGGAAUUGACGGGGGCCCGCACAAGCGGAGGAACAUGUGGUUUAAUUCGAUGAUACGCGAGGAACCUUACCCGGGUUUGAACGCAUUCGGACCGAGGUGGAAACACCUUUUCUAGCAAUAGCCGUUUGCGAGGUGCUGCAUGGUUGUCGUCAGCUCGUGCCGUGAGGUGUCGGCUUAAGUGCCAUAACGAGCGCAACCCUUGCCACUAGUUACUAACAGGUGAUGCUGAGGACUCUGGUGGGACUGCCAGCGUAAGCUGCGAGGAAGGCGGGGAUGACGUCAAAUCAGCACGGCCCUUACAUCCGGGGCGACACACGUGUUACAAUGGCGUGGACAAAGGGAGGCCACCUGGCGACAGGGAGCGAAUCCCCAAACCACGUCUCAGUUCGGAUCGGAGUCUGCAACCCGACUCCGUGAAGCUGGAUUCGCUAGUAAUCGCGCAUCAGCCAUGGCGCGGUGAAUACGUUCCCGGGCCUUGUACACACCGCCCGUCAAGCCAUGGGAGCCGGGGGUACCUGAAGUCCGUAACCGAAAGGAUCGGCCUAGGGUAAAACUGGUGACUGGGGCUAAGUCGUAACAAGGUAGCCGUACCGGAAGGUGCGGCUGGAACACCUCCUUU